rnacentral:rRNA from 1 species
GACGAACGCUGGCGGCGUGCUUAACACAUGCAAGUCGAGCGGUAAGGCCCUUUCGGGGGUACACGAGCGGCGAACGGGUGAGUAACACGUGGGUGACCUGCCCUCAGCUCUGGGAUAAGCCUGGGAAACCGGGUCUAAUACUGGAUAUGACUCCAUGACGCAUGUUGUGGGGUGGAAAGCCUUGUGCGGCUGAGGAUGGGCCCGCGGCCUAUCAGCUUGUUGGUGGGGUGANGGCCUACCAAGGCGACGACGGGUAGCCGGCCUGAGAGGGCGACCGGCCACACUGGGACUGAGACACGGCCCAGACUCCUACGGGAGGCAGCAGUGGGGAAUCCUGCGCAAUGGGCGAAAGCCUGACGCAGCGACGCCGCGUGAGGGAUGACGGCCUGGUUGUAAC